rnacentral:lncRNA from 1 species
GUUUCUGUAAAAAUAUAAAAUUGUGACAUACACCUAAAGAAGCACCUAAGUAAGACGACCCUCUUUUUCUGCCUGAGGCCAGCCUACUGGUGACAUUGGGCCAUAUUUCUGAGCCUAUGACCCAAGUGAUGUGACUCCCUAUUUCAGCCUGGGACUUUUCAGUGAGAAGAUUGUGACAAAUUGAUGAGCCCAACACUUAGGUAAUGUGACUCUUGUCUUGUAACUGAACAAUGUGCACAAAGAGGACUUUUGCUGUAUUUCCUGGCCCUGCACCUGGAUGAUGUUACUCUUCUUUCUACCUCAUGCAUAAAGAGAAAAUUAUGGCAUAUUUCUCGGGCCAGCACCAUAAUCAUGUGACUCUCCUGCCUGUACCAGAGCCACAGAAGGUAUAUUGACAUAUCUUUGGCCCAUUCUGUACGUGUUUUGGCUCUCAUCAUUUCCCUGGGUUUCUUCCACAUGUGGUUGUAUCAUAUUGUUGGCUGCAGCCCUUGCUUUAUGUGAUGCUCUUUGCUAGGCCCUGCCUAAAGGAGGUAUUGUGAUAUAUUGUUUGGACUAACUCAAAAGUGAUGUUAACAUUCUCUUUGGUUUUUUGCUCACAAAUGGGAUUAUGACAUGUACCUAGUUUCGGAUCAAAGCAUGCUGAUCAAGCUUAUAUUGGGAUACAGUGAAUAGGAGAUAUUUCACCUGUCACCACUUUGUUUACAUCAAAAGGGGGAAUCUUGAUAAAUCACUAAAAUCGGCAUCCUGGUGAUUUGACUCUUCUUCCAUUGUCCUGCCCACAAGAAGGAUUGUGACAUCUUACUGGACCAGCACCCACCUAGGUCUUUCUCCUAUGACAUAAAACUCAGAAGCCAUUGAAAGCAAGAUUG